ensembl:lincRNA
UACUUUGCAGUUUAAUUUAAUGAACGCUAUUUACACUUCCAUUUCAGUUUCUAGUAACCAAACGAAUGCUUUAACAGCUUUACUGGUUUCAAAGGACCCAUGCCUCAUGCCUGUCUCAGCUUUAGUUUACAUGAAGGAAACUGAAAAUGCAGAUGUCACAUAGGCUUCGUGCUUCAGCAGCAGUAGCAGCAGCUCUCCAUACCACUCUGGGCACAAUUUCUUCAGAUAGUUUUUGGUCAGCUACCUUGAAAAAGCACCUCCAAGAUCAUUCUGCAGCCUGGCUAAGGAUGAAGAUAACUGAUAAACUAUUAUAUACCAAAAAACAACAAUAGUGUCCCCUGGGCAUCCAAAGCCUUAGUCUAGAGGAAAACAUAAUGAAAGUGGGAGUGAUUGACAAGGGAGAGAAAGGAAGACUCAGUUUCUUCAGAAUUUCACGUAAUCCAUGACAGUUUUCAAAGGUUUACUACGUGAACUAAAACAUGAUUGGGAGAGCUAUAACUUCGAAAUCUACUGUAGUCCCUGGGUUCCUAUUUGGAAGGUACUCCAUUUCUUUGGGAGAAAUUCACCACCCUGCCAACUGAUUCCUUUCCUAGAGCCUGGAUUCUAAACUGCUAAUGUCAAUAAACAAAACUUAGAACUUUACAAAUCAAAUCUCUCUGUAGCUUUUCAAAUUUUUAAAAUUUUAAUUUUAUUUGUAAUAUGUUUGAGAGUCUAUUCACUCCUUCCUGUAGUCUUCUAUCCUAUGUGACUGGAAUCCUGAAUUAAGUGCAAAAUCUGAUUCCAAUGAUAACUACUCGAAUCAUUUUGGCAA